rnacentral:lncRNA from 13 species
GGACUGAAAGUUCUCGACACCACCAUGCCGGGUUUCUUGUAGUUUGUAGUAGAGAUGGCGUUUGGGCAUGCCUGGUUUUUUGAAGUUUUUAGUACAGACAGGGUUUCACCAUGUUGGCCAGGAUGGCCUCAACCUCUUGCCCACAUGAUGUGCUCGCCUCAGCCUCGCCACAUGCUGGAUUACAUGCGUGAACCCCCACGCCCAGCCUCCCAUGGUUAUCUAACGUCACCAAGUGAAUAUUAGACCUGUGCCAGCGGGACACAGCAUGAUUUCAUCCUCAUGGUGUUUCUUUUUCUCUUAUUGCAGGAGAAGCCCGCCACUUGGUGUCACCGCCGUACGUAUUCAUUUUCUUUUAAACAGUUACUGAGACAUAGUGCAUAUGCAAACAAAUUCACUUAUUUAAAGUAGGUGAUUCCGUGUUUUUACUCUAUUUAUAGGGUUGUGCAACCAUUGUUAGAGUCAAAUUUUAGAAGCUAUUUUUCCCCCUCAGAAAACCCGCUUAGUAGUGACUCCUCUGUUCUCCCCAACCCCCCACGCCCCUGGUCCUAGGCAGCCCUAAUCUACUUCCUGUUUCUGUAGUACACUGCCUUUCUGUAUUAACCGGUUCUUCAAAUGACGAUUUCACGUUGAUGAGGUUGCCCUGGCAAGGAAGCCAGGCUCUUUCAUUUCUUUCUGCCCCUCUCCUUUUCCUUCCUUCAGCACCCAGGAGAAUGGUCCAGUAGCAGCUGGGUCCUUGCUUGUCAAAUGCCACACUCCAUACCAUCCAGCCCAGUCCACAUUUCCCAAAGCUCCUGGUGAGAUUCCUGAGCAGCACCAAUGCACUGACUGUCACUCUGUUUUCCCUUAGGUCCCGUUGAGGUCCCGCAGGACCUCAUACUAGAAGACAUUGAGGAUGAUGAGCUACCCCGUGACGAGGCUACAGUGCAGUGUUGUGAUCUCAGAUCACUGCAGCGUCCUCCUACUGCAUUCAAGCAAUUCUCCUGCCUCAACCUCCCGAGUAGCUCGGACUGAAGUUUCUUGCCACCACCACGCCGGGUUUUUUAUAGUUUUUAGUACAGAUGGCGUUUCACCAUGUUGGCCAGGAUGGCCUCUACCUCUUGCCCUCAUGAUCUGCCUGCCUCAGUGUCCCCACAUGCUGGAUUACAUGCGUGAACCACCGCGACCAGCCUGCCAUCUGGUUUUCUAACCUCACCAAGUGAAUAUGAGACCUGUGCCAACAGUACUUAGCAUGAUGUAAUCCUCAUGGUGUUUCUUUUUUUCUUAUUGCAGGAGAAGCCAGUGUCCCACUAUCACCGUCGUACGUAUUCUUUUUCUUUUAAAUAGUUACCCAGACGUAGUGCAUAUGCAAACAAAUUUACUCAUUUGAAAUAGGUGAUUUCGUGUUUUUACUCUAUUUAUAGGGUUGUGCAACCAUUGUUAGAGUCUAAUUGUAGAAGCUGUUUUUCCCUCUCAGAAAACCCGCUUAGUAGUGACUCCUCCUUUCUCCCCCACCCCCCACACCCCAGGUUCUAGGCAGCCCUAAUUUACUUCCUGUUUCUGUAGUA